CAUACAUCAUUUUUACAUUCUCUGCUGGAUUCCUUUUCCAGUUCUCGAACAACUGCUGAGUCAUUCUUCUGUUUGGAUUUAUGAAUUCGUCUUCAUCAUCCCCAAUUUUAUCUCCCAAAGCCGACUAUAGGAUGAUGCUAAUGAUCGCCCAUAGAGCAUCUUUCCAGAGCUCUUUUAUUUCUUCUAACGUAGGAUCCAUUUCCCAAUCCAGUCAAAUAGUAGAGAUGCAUAGUUGAGUUGAAUGCCACAGCAUAUGGCUGUCAUGAGCUUGAGUUGUACUUCAUUACAGAAUCAUGGUCAGAGCUCUUGCAGCAUAUUCAUUUCCCAAUAAUAUCUGCCAAGAAUUCAUACCUCUAAGGGAAUUCUUUCUUCUUGUAUCCUUUGACAGUGGGUAACUUCUUGUGGUGCAUUCUCUUAAGCCCUUCGUGAAAAUCGAUGCCCUCUAUGGAAGAAAACCCUUUUGAUUUGAAACCUAGGGCUAGAUUUAUCUCCUCAGACUUGAGCUUGAUUUCCACGUCCCUGACCCUCGUACUGAUGAUGUCAUUCUCGAAUACACCAUUUUUAUAGAAUUCUUUAUCAGCUUAGGGUAGAUACACGUUCUCGUACCCAGAGCCUCUUCAAGGCCAGCUUUCUUUAUCAGAGACAGAGUUUUGAGAAAUUUGGGAUCAGCUGUCUUGAACUCAUCAAAACAGAAUCUGUAACCAGAGAUGAAAUUUGAGGCUGCCAUUGAUUUCUUUGCACUGAGUAUGAUUGUUUGAGCUUUUCGGAAAGUUAGGGUUUCUGCUUGUAAAGAGAAAGACAAAGAGAGAGAGAGAGAGAUGAGGUUUUUGAACUUCUGAUUUCAAAAAGGUGUUUUCAAACUGUACUUAUAACUUCCCUCUCUCUAUUUUCUUAGUGGGGCAUGUGUCAAAUUCUGCUUCGCCCUACGAGUUUGACUGAUGAGGAAUGUACUAAUUUGCCCUUAGCUCCUUCUGAGCUAAUGUGUCCUUUGGGAGGACUACGAUCGUUGAGGUAGUCCUUAUGAUCAUUAAGUAUGCACUGCGAUUGUCGAGUCCGUUCUGCAAUCAUCGAGUCUACUCUGCAUUCAUUGAGUCUGUUCUGCAUUCGUCGAGUCUCAUUUGCAUUCGUCGAGUCUGUACUAAGAUUAUUGAAUUUUCCCGUGUCCUUGUGAUGAACUUUUGAC
rnacentral:lncRNA from 1 species